AGUGCCAAAACCCCUUAAAGUGCAUGUCAAGUGUGCCUCAGAGUCUUACCCCACCCACGUAUCAAUUUUGAAAACUGCAACAUUAGUAGGCGUUGCCUGGAGGACCGAGAGGGCGGAGCCGUGGCAGUGACGAGGAGACGGCUAACUAGACGAAGCUAGCUCCCUUCACUCUGAGCAGUCAUUAGAAGUGGAGGACGUUUCUCCCCCUCCUUACCCAGACACUCGAGAAGAAAGGGACCAAGUCUAUUUGGAGGAGCAACCGGACAUGAGCCUUAUUGUUUUGAGCUUGUGAGUUGCCUGAAAUUACUGGAACCGACCCAACAGACCCAUCUCUGAACGUGAUCCUCUGGUGUCUGCAGCUGGUCUCCUGCUGAUGUCGUCGGGAUCAGGAACUUCCAGAAGAAUGUGCCUUUCAAUGACUCUUUCCCCCUUAUUUGUUAUAUUAAUUAAAUAAAUCUCAAUUUAUA